GGAUGUGAGGGCGAUCUGGCUGUGACACCUGUCACCCCAUUGAUCGCCAGGGUUGAUUUGGCAGAUCUGGCUGUCUAGGCCCGUAUCCCCUUCCUACCUCACCACUCCACGUGCGUCCCUCCCGAAGCUGCGCACUCGGUCGAAGAGGACGACCUUCCCUGAAUAGAGGAGGCCCGGUCUUCAGUCAAGGGUCUACAAAUAGCUGCGCCCGCCUGCUAGAACCUGCAAACAAGCUCUAAAAUAAAUCAAGAAAAAUAUCUGGAAUCUCUUAACUUUAUAGUAACAGAGCUAAGGCUCAAACUCACGUU
rnacentral:snRNA from 1 species